UACGUAGGGGGCUAGCGUUGUCCGGAAUCAUUGGGCAUAAAGCGCGUGUAGGCGGUUCGGUAAGUCCGCUGUGAAAGUCGGGGGCUCAACCCUCGGAUGCCGGUGGAUACUGUCGAGCUUGAGUACGGAAGAGGCGAGUGGAAUUCCUGGUGUAGCGGUGAAAUGCGCAGAUAUCAGGAGGAACACCAAUUGCGAAGGCAGCUCGCUGGGACGUUACUGACGCUGAGACGCGAAAGCGUGGGGAGCAAACAGG
rnacentral:rRNA from 1 species